GACGAACGCUGGCGGCGUGCUUAACACAUGCAAGUCGAACGGAAAGGCCCUGCUUUUGUGGGGUGCUCGAGUGGCGAACGGGUGAGUAACACGUGAGUAACCUGCCCUUGACUUUGGGAUAACUUCAGGAAACUGGGGCUAAUACCGGAUAGGGGCUCCUGCUGCAUGGUGGGGGUUGGAAAGUUUCGGCGGUUGGGGAUGGACUCGCGGCUUAUCAGCUUGUUGGUGGGGUAGUGGCUUACCAAGGCUUUGACGGGUAGCCGGCCUGAGAGGGUGACCGGCCACAUUGGGACUGAGAUACGGCACAGACUCCUACGGGAGGCAGCAGUGGGGAAUAUUGCACAAUGGGCGGAAGCCUGAUGCAGCAACGCCGCGUGCGGGAUGACGGCCUUCGGGUUGUAAACCGCUUUCGCCUGUGACGAAGCGUGAGUGACGGUAAUGGGUAAAGAAGCACCGGCUAACUACGUG
rnacentral:rRNA from 1 species